rnacentral:lncRNA from 1 species
GUCCGGGAAUGACAAAACCUUCAGGUUGUUUCAUGUAAAUUUCCUCUUCUAAAUCACCAUUUAGAAAAGCAGUUUUUACAUCCAUUUGAUGGAUUUCUAAGUCUCUUAAGGCUGCGAUAGCUAUCAUCAGUCUUAUUGAUGUUAUUCUCGUCACUGGAGAAUAUGUAUCAAAAUAGUCAAGGCCUUCCUUUUGUCGGAAUCCUUGAACUACAAGCCUAGACUUGUAUUUUCCACCAGGUUUUCGUGUUAUUAUCCAUUUAUUCCCUAAUGCUUUGCAGCCAGGUGGUAAAUUCGUUAUGUAAUAAGUAUAAUUUUGCAUGAUCGAAUCAAACUCACUUCUGACAGCUUCAUUCCAAAAUGGAGCUUCUGGUGAAGCCAUGGCUUCUGCCAACGUUUUUGGAAUAUUUUCUACUAAAAAUGCCAUUAGGAAAUCUUCUCCAAAAGAUUUUUCUUUCCAAGCUCUUUUGCUCCUUCGAGGUUCAUCUUUUUCUCCAUUUUCUGAAAUAUCAUUUAUAGAAAUCUCGACGUUUGUCUCAGUUUCUGAGUUUUUGUCAUUGUCUCUUUCUUCUUGAGUUCGUUUUGAACCUUGUUUUUCCUUAUAUGGAAAAAUAUUUUCGAAGAAAGAUGCAUUUCUUGAUUCCAUGACUGUAUUUUCAUGAAUGUCUGAUAUUUCAGAUUUAUGUACCAGAAAACGAUAAGCAUUACUGUUAUGUGCAUAUCCGAUGAAGAUGCAAUCCACUGUUUUAGGUCCAAUAGUGACCUUCUUUGGUGGCGGCACCGCAACUUUUGCCAGGCACCCCCACACUUUGAGGUAUUUAUACGAAGGUAAAUUAGCUUUCCAUAAUUCAUCUGGAGUUUUGCCAGUUACUUUGUGUGGAAUCUUGUUGAGGAUAUAAUUAGUGGUAAGCAACGCUUCCCCCACAUGUUCUGGGGUAACCCAGAUUCCUGCAACAUAGCAUUCAUCAUCUCUUUUAGAGUUCGAUUUUUGCGUUCAGCAACUCCAUUAGAUUCUUGUGAGUAAGGAGCUGUAGUUUGAUGGAUUAUUCCAUGUUCUUUACAGAAUGCAUUGAACGGACCAUCAUACUCGCCUCCUCUGUCGCUUCUAACUACUUUAAUAGUUGUUUUAAGCUGAUUCUCGACCUCGAGUUUAAAUUCUUUAAAUUUUUCCAAGGUUUCAUCUUUGCUAUGUAAUAUAUAAACAUAACAAUAUUUUGUGCAGUCAUCUAUGAAGGUCACAAAGUACUUUUUACCACCUCUAGUUUGUAAGUAUUUUAAAUCACAUAAAUCAGUGUGAAUUAAAUCUAGAGGUUUAUUAGUUCUUUCAACACGAGGUGAUGGCGUUUUUGUGAGCUUAGCCUGUACGCAUACUUCACAUUUUUGUUUACUUGUUUUGCAUUUAGGAAUUAGAUUUAAAUUCAUUAAUCUUUGUAUAGACUUGUAGUUUACAUGGCCUAAUCUUUCAUGCCAUAUAUUAAAAGACUCAACCAAAUAAGCAACUGGCUCAUUCUUAUUCAUUGAAACUUUUGGAGCUACAACUUUUGGAGUGACUGUCAUUACAUUCAACUUGACAAGUCCACCCUUAACAUAUCCCCUUCCCAAAUACAUCCCAUUCUUCCUAAUCACGAGCUUAUCUGCCUCAAAGCUUGUGGCGAAUCCAUUCUUGCUGAGCAAGGUUCCCGAGACCAGGUUCUUCCUCAUGUCUGGCACAUGCUUCACAUUUGUCAGAGUGACCUCACGUCCAGAUGUCAUCUUCAAGAUCACAUUGCCGCGUCCUUCAAUCUUGGAGACUGCAGUGUUUCCCAUCUUGAGCUUCUCCUCAGUCUUGCUUUUCUGAUAGGUGCUGAACAUCACCCUAUCGGUGCAAAUGUGGGUGGUUGCACCAGUGUUAUACCACCAUUCCUUGGGGUUGUUGCUUUCAACUAUAUUUGCUUCAGUCACCACAGCAACGAGAUCCUCCUCAGUGAGAUUUGCCUGAUCCUUCUCAUCUUUGAUCUUUUUGCGACACUCAACUGUUUUGUGCCCCACUUUGUGGCAGUAGUGACAUUUCCCCUUGAACUUCUCCACAUUCGCAUUGAUCUCAAUACCUUUGUGCUUGAAGAUUUUUCAAGGCUGCAGCAGUUUUGGAAGGCUUGGCCGGAGAAUAGGCGUGGGCCUUUCCUUUGCCUUUGUGCUCAGCCAUGUUGACACUGUGCUCCUUUGUACCGACCUUUGCAGCAGUUCGGUUUCUGGAUUCCAUCUGAAGCCUCGUGAUGAGCUCAUCGAGCCCCAUCUUCUUCUUCUUGUGCUUCAAGUAGUUCUUGAAAUCCGCAUAGCUUGGAGGAAGCUUUUCAAUGAAGCUGGGAGUUGUGAAUGUCUCGCAGAUGGACAUUCCUUCAGCAGCGAUUUCAUGGCAAAUGAGCUGAAUCGCUUCCACCUGAUCCAUGAUGGGUUUUGAAUCCACCAUUUUGAAGUCGUGGAAUUUUGAGACCACAUACUUCUGGCAGCCAGCGUCCUCACCUCUGUACUUCUUGUCUAGUGAUCUCCAUAGCUCUUUCGCCGUGGGGAUCUCACAGUAGACACGGUACAAUGGGUCAAUGAGGCGACCCAAAAUGUAGCCUUUGAAGAUGAAGUCGGAAUGCACCCAUAUGUCAACAGUUGCGAGGCUGUGAACAUCAUCAAUCCCGUAAGGCAUAAGGGGCUUGUCCUCCUGGAGGAACUUCUCCAGCUUCAUCGUUGCCAGGAAGAACAACAUCUUCUUCUGCCACAUUUUGAAGCCUUUGCCAUCAAAUUGGUUUGGCAUCAGUCCUUGAGUGAACACACUAGGGACAGUCGGAGGAGUUUGAACUGCCACCGGACCACUUGCAGUUGCUGAAAUUGAACCCGUCUGAUAAAGACCAGCACCAAAUAGGGUACGGCGAGUGGUUUAAUCAGCAGCAUUCCCCGCAGGGAGGAAAGUGCUCGUUGUUGCUGCAGUGGUUGACGCUGUGAUGUUUCCAGCGGUUGUCACGCCAGUUGAUGCAGCGUUGAGUGGAGUCUGAAUGACAUCCGAGGUGUCCAUGGGAGUGGGGGUGUCGUUCUCGUUUGUCAUUUUCCUGUAGAGAAAACAUGAAAACGGAUUAGUACUCCAUUCAACAAUUAACAUAUUAUUUUAAAGAAAAUAAUAGUCUAAAAUCGAUGUUCAUUUUUGGUGUUUGAACCAAAUCAUAUCGAUAUAAGUCUUGAAAAAACGUUUUGCAAACUCGCUUAGAAGCGUUUCGCAGAAACCAUUUUUAUAGACUUAGAAUGUUUCACAGACUCGCUUAAGAAAGCGGUCACUGAAACGAUUCAUAUAUAUAACGUUUGAAGAAAUGUAUCAAAAAACGUUUUGCGAAAAUGCUAGAAAGCAAUCCGCAAAGCGUAAUGAAGUAAAACUGAAACGUUUCGCGGAAGUGCUCUAAGGCAAAUCGCAAACACAUUUAGCCAGAAACGUUUCGCGGAUAAGCGUAUAGCAAAUCGCAAACAUCGUUUUGAUAUAAGAACAAACGUUUCGCGGAAGUGCUAGAAAGCAAAUUGCAAACACGGUUCCGAAACCCGUUUCUAUUAAUCGUUUAUCAACCCGAUUAAAGCUUUAAACAUAAAGCGAUUUUGAGUUAAGAUUGUAGAAGCCGGUAAACCGGACUGAUGUAAACGAUAUAAUAAAAGCGAAGUUAAGGAAAUAGACGAAUAUUUAAAACGAAUACGAGAACGAUAAGAAAUCGUAUUCGCAACGAGACAUGGAGGCGAGAUAUGAUCUCUUUCCUUAACUCAAAAUAUUUGCUCCGUUAGUGAGACGGGACUGUACGAAUAUAGAGUCCCAGGAUACAACCAUGGCAGACGAAUCACGCCUCACUCGUGAUCGCCCUAUCGAACUAUAAACUCUACGAAACACUCUCGUUUUUAUGACUUACGCUAAGGGAAUUUUGAUGCUGGUUUCGAUGUGAAAAAGUUGAAGAAAAUAAGAAGAGGAGAGUCCGUAUUUAAAGAGAAGACUAGGAGCGGUUUUUCGAAACUGUUGCGAACGUUUUUUCCGAAAAUCUCGCAAAGAUCUCGGAGUGGAACGUUGAGCAGCUUUCUCCGCAAGUUUCUCUCUUGUUGACUCGUUCUGAUCCAUUUCGAACAGAUAAAUUUCGUGUUAUUUUUAAAUGAACUACAUGUCGUUUAUACACAAAUGUCAUGCUGUUUUUUAGAAAUAAAAUGGCAAAGCGUUGAGCUUAACUUGGUCCAAAAAAAAUAAUUCUUAUCGGGCCAAAGGCCCUCCACCCAAGCCCAAGCCCAAGCCCAAGCCCACGCCCACGCCGAGCCGAGCCGAGCCGGCCGGACGGCGGCGGCGGCGCGCGCGUGGGGAGCUCUCUCUUCCUCUGAGCCGUUUAAUCCAAGGAGAGUGUGAUACCAUAUAUAUACAUCACAACUUCUCAAGUUUUAAUCGAUGUGGGACUCUCUUAUUUCCUUUCAUUAAUGCCAACAUGACUUUUUUCAAAGAGCUCGUAAGCCCAUUUUCUUUUUACAUUUGCCUUUCAUUAUUUGAGCUAAUAAGCUUAGUAAUUAGGCCCAACAAUCUCCCACAUGAAUAGAAAUGACUCUAAACAUAUGCAGACUAGAUGCAGACUCGAUAGGCUCUAAAAAACUAUACUUAUUCUAAUCCUGACUAGACUAGACAGACUUAUCGAGAGUGUUUGCGAAAAAUUCACUGUGUUUGAGUUGGUGGCAUUUUUAAGCUUUGAACCACUCAUAGUUAAUAUCUGUCGGGUUUACUUUACCAGAAGGUGAACAUGAUGUCUUGAACCAACCGGUGUUUUAUGUAAACCGAAACAACAUGCAUAACGCAGCUUCAUUUUCUCGUAGAACUUAGUUCUCUAUUGUGUUCAUUGUGGCCCUGAACUAUUCAUGGUUUUCAUGAGUGAACUUAGAGAAUAUAGCCUUGCAUUCAUUCUCCUAGAAACGGCCUCAUUUCACACUCAUUAGGUGAUUGGCCAUGCUUAUCCUUCUCACAUUUGUUAGCACUUUUAUCAUCUUAAGAGCUGGGAAGAAACUACUUGUCUCAAGUGCUUUGGUUAGAUUCUGUUUGAUUUUGGUUUCCCUUUGAACCUACGUCUUGGGAUCUCCAGUCAUGAUAGGUUGGGUUGCAAUCAAGCAUCCUCAUUCGUUAUAGGCUUUAAACCCAUUCCUUUUGAUGAUUUAGCAACAACAUCUCGUGACAAACCUUUGGUAAAUGGAUCCGCUAGGUUGUCAGCCGAUUUGAUGUAGUCUAUUGUAAUUACACCAGUUGAGAUAAGUUGUCUAAUGGUUUUAUGUCGUCUUCUGAUGUGACGAGAUUUACCAUUGUAGAUUAUUCUGAGCCCGAGCUAUUGCUGAUUGACUAUCACAAUGUAUGCGUAUAGCUGGCACAGGUUUCUCCCACAUAGGAAUAUCUUCCAAAAAAAUUCUAAGCCAUUCAGCUUCUUCUGCUGCUUUAUCUAAAGCUAUGAACUCAAAUUCCAUGGUAGAUCUGGCUAACACUGUUUGUUUGGUAGAUUUUCAUGAUAUUGCUGCUCCUCCUAGUGUAAAGACAUAUCCACUCGUGGAUUUUGAGUUUUUAGAAUCUGAUAUCCAGUUAGCAUCACUGUAUCCUUCCAAAACUGCUGGUUCUUUACCAUAGUGAAGCCCAAAAUCUUUGGUGUAGCGCAAGUAAUUGAGUACCGUCGUUAUAGCUUUCCAGUGUGUAUGACCUGGAUUACUAGUAUAUCGACUAAGUACGUUUACUGCAUGCGCCAGAUCCGGUCUAGUACAAUUUGUCAAGUACAUGAGACUUCCGAUCACACGUGCAUACUCGUUUUGUGAAACCGCCUCACCUGAAUUCUUCGUCAAGUGCAUUUGGGGAUCUAACGGAGUUUUUACCGUACUAUUAGAGUAAUUUUUAAAUCUCUCUAAUAUUGUUUGAGCAUAAUGAGAUUGGGUUAAGAUAAUUCCGUUUGAAUUUCUUGUGACUUUAACCCCGAGAAUUACAUCUACUAAUCCCAAGUCUUUCAUCUCAAAUGUCCCUUUGAGCAUAUUUUUUGUUUGAUUGAUAAUGUCUUUAUUGCUUCCAAUAAUGAGCAUAUCAUCUACAUAUAAGCAUAGCAAAACAUACGCAUUUUUGGUAGUUUUGUAGUAUAUGCAUUUGUCACAUUCAUUUAUUUUGAAACCAUUUGACAUUAUUGUGUUGUCAAAUUUUUCGUGCCAUUGUUUAGGAGCUUGUUUAAGCCCAUAAAGUGACUUUACAAGUCGACAUACUCUGUUUUCCUGUCCGGGAAUGACAAAACCUUCAGGUUGUUUCAUGUAAAUUUCUUCUUCUAAAUCACCAUUUAGAAAAGCAGUUUUUACAUCCAUUUGAUGGAUUUCUAAGUCUCUUAAGGCUGCGAUAGCUAUCAUCAGUCUUAUUGAUGUUAUUCUCGUCACUGGAGAAUAUGUAUCAAAAUAGUCAAGGCCUUCCUUUUGUCGGAAUCCUUGAACUACAAGCCUAGACUUGUAUUUUCCACCAGGUUUUCGUGUCAUUAUCCAUUUAUUCCCUAAUGCUUUGCAGCCAGGUGGUAAAUCCGUUAUGUAAUAAGUAUAAUUUUGCAUGAUCGAAUCAAACUCACUUCUGACAGCUUCAUUCCAAAAUGGAGCUUCUGGUGAAGCCAUGGCUUCUGCCAACGUUUUUGGAACAUUUUCUACUAAAAAUGCCAUUAGGAAAUCUUCUCCAAAAGAUUUUUCUUUCCGAGCUCUUUUGCUCCUUCGAGGUUCAUCUUUUUCUCCAUUUUCUGAAAUAUCAUUUAUAGAAAUCUCGACGUUUGUCUCUGUUUCUGAGUUUUUGUCAUUGUC